UCAACAUUUAUAACACAAUAAUAAUAUAAACUGUACAUAUUGUUAUGAAGUAAGUACAAACUAUACAGUGGCCUUUGAAUGUGUCACAUUGUUUAUAACUAAGUAAUUGUUUUGCUGCUACUUAGUGUUUUACUUUCUGUCUCCAUACAGACCCCAGCCAUGCACAAGUCAUCGGGAUCCUUGGCAGCAACAUCACCCUUCAAUUUACAUUCAACGUUAGCAUUACUGAAAACAGUCAAAUUGGAAUUUAUACAACAGGCGAGAAAAAGAUUGAUGAUUUAAAAAGAAGGAAAAUUUCCUUUGAUAUUUACCCCCAAAACAAUUCUGUAUUUUACCACAUCACAAAUCUCACUCUAAGCCACAGUAACACCUACUGGGCCAGUUUACUUGGUGGUAUCCCGAGAAAAAGUAAUGAAGUGCAGCUGUUCAUUGAAGAGAAGAACACACACAGUACAGCCACUGAAACACCCGCUGAGCCUCCACAGUACAAUAGUAAUGCUGUAAUCACUGUUAUCCGUGUCUUCGCCUUCAUCACGUCUUUGGCCCUGGUUGUGGGAGUCUGCAAGAUCUACCAUGUGAAAUGCAUCAAGUCCAGAAACUAAACAGCCACAGACGGUUAACAGAAGAAAGACGAGACUGAUGGAGCAGAUCUGUGUGUCGUAUACUUUCACACUGGCAUCAAGUUCAUAAAUAACAUAAUGAUUCAAUACUAGCUUCUAUUAAAUAAA